rnacentral:rRNA from 1 species
CGGAGAGUAACUGCUCGCACCUUGACGGUACCUAACCAGAAAGCCACGGCUAACUACGUGCCAGCAGCCGCGGUAAUACGUAGGUGGCAAGCGUUGUCCGGAAUUAUUGGGCGUAAAGCGCGCGCAGGUGGUCCUUUAAGUCUGAUGUGAAAGCCCACGGCUCAACCGUGGAGGGUCAUUGGAAACUGGGGGACUUGAGUGCAGAAGAGGAAAGUGGAAUUCCAAGUGUAGCGGUGGAAAAUAUUUGCGGGGGAUCAGGAAGAACAUCGGUGGCGAAGGCGCUCUGCUGGACCAUGACUGACACUCAGGGACGAAAGCUAGGGGAGCGAAUGGGAUUAGAUACCCCAGUAGUCCUAGCCGUAAACGAUGGAUACUAGGUGUUGUCUGUAUCGACCCGGACAGUGCCGUAGCUAACGCGUUAAGUAUCCCGCCUGGGGAGUACGCACGCAAGUGUGAAACUCAAAGGAAUUGACGGGGGCCCGCACAAGCGGUAGAGUAUGUGGUUUAAUUCGAUGCAACGCGAAGAACCUUACCAGGACUUGACAUGUCGCG